rnacentral:rRNA from 1 species
GACGAACGCUGGCGGCGUGCCUAAUACAUGCAAGUUGAGCGAUGAAGAUUGGUGCUUGCACCAAUUUGAAGAGCAGCGAACGGGUGAGUAACGCGUGGGGAAUCUGCCUUUGAGCGGGGGACAACAUUUGGAAACGAAUGCUAAUACCGCAUAACAACUUUAAACAUAAGUUUUAAGUUUGAAAGAUGCAAUUGCAUCACUCAAAGAUGAUCCCGCGUUGUAUUAGCUAGUUGGUGAGGUAAAGGCUCACCAAGGCGAUGAUACAUAGCCGACCUGAGAGGGUGAUCGGCCACAUUGGGACUGAGACACGGCCCAAACUCCUACGGGAGGCAGCAGUAGGGAAUCUUCGGCAAUGGACGAAAGUCUAACCGAGCAACGCCGCGUGAGUGAAGAAGGUUUUCGGAUCGUAAAACUCUGUUGGUAGAGAAGAACGUUGGUGAGAGUGGAAAGCUCAUCAAGUGACGGUAACUACCCAGAAAGGGACGGCUAACUACGU